UACGUAGGGUGCAAGCGUUAAUCGGAAUUACUGGGCGUAAAGCGUGCGCAGGCGGUUAUAUAAGACAGAUGUGAAAUCCCCGGGCUCAACCUGGGAAUUGCGAUGAAGACUGCACGGCUAGAGUGUGUCAGAGGGGGGUAGAAUUCCACGUGUAGCAGUGAAAUGCGUAGAUAUGCGGAGGAACACCAAUGGCGAAGGCAAUCCCCUGGGCCUGUACUGACGCUCAUGCACGAAAGCGUGGGGAGCAAACAGG
rnacentral:rRNA from 1 species